AAGUCCACACUAGGCCAAACAAUGCCAUAUUGCCAUGUGAUAUGCAUUCUGAUGAUAUAUCAGUCCCAAAUGUUAGUGUAAAGGAGACACCAUAAUAGUAUUGCAGAAAGUAAACCGAGAGAUAAAACAAUACAAGCAAACACUUAUGCUUAAUUAGAAUCUCUUUUAAAUAAUCUAUUACAAGAUCUGCUUAAUUCAUCUUUUACACAUCUAGUGUUAACACCCUAACACACGCUACUGAAAGAUUCCUAAGCUACAACGCUUAUGUCUCUCUUCCGUCAGUAC
rnacentral:lncRNA from 1 species